rnacentral:tRNA from 1 species
AAUGAUAUGCCUGAUCAAAGGAUUAUUUUGAUAGAAUAAAUCAGACAUUUACAAAUAAAUGUUUUCAUUA